rnacentral:rRNA from 1 species
GAUGAACGCUGGCGGCGUGCCUAAUACAUGCAAGUCGAGCGCGAGAUUGGGGAGCUUGCUCCUCAUGAUCGAGCGGCGGACGGGUGAGUAACACGUAGGCAACCUACCCUUGAGAUUGGGAUAACUACCGGAAACGGUAGCUAAUACCGGAUACGACUUUCCUGCAUAAGCAGUUAAGUUAAAAGGCGGAUUUAUCUGCCGCUCAUGGAUGGGCCUGCGGUGCAUUAGCUAGUUGGUGAGAUAGUGGCUCACCAAGGCGACGAUGCAUAGCCGACCUGAGAGGGUGAUCGGCCACACUGGGACUGAGACACGGCCCAGACUCCUACGGGAGGCAGCAGUAGGGAAUCUUCCGCAAUGGACGCAAGUCUGACGGAGCAACGCCGCGUGAGUGAUGAAGGGUUUCGGCUCGUAAAACUCUGUUGUUAAGGAAGAACACUUGAGGUAGUAACUGGCCUUGAGAUGACGGUACUUAACCAGAAAGCCACGGCUAACUGCGUGCCAGCCGCCGCCGUAA